rnacentral:lncRNA from 1 species
CGCGCGCAGGCGCAAUUAGCAGGUCCUGCCGCCUGGUUCCGAGGUCCGACACAGAGGGCCGUUGGGAGGCAGUUGGGCGUGGCAACGGACGCUAUCUGAAGGCCACGCCCACUCGGGACUGGAGGGAUGGGCUUCCUAACGGAAGCGCACCCUUCAAGUCCUGGAACACCGACUCUAUCUUCUGACUGCUUUGGGGUUGCGGAAUGGAAAGACCCUCCCCCGGAUGAGGGCCUCCUGCGUUUAGAAACCAGAGGAUUGGAGCGGCCAUAGGUAAUCUGAGGAAGGCAGCGGUUCCCUGCGUUUAGACUCGUGCCUCGAGGAGCUCGGAGGAGCUCCGCACAGCCUUCUCCGCUGCAGAGGCCCCAGGCGCGGGUCUGCAGGGCAGUGCGUGUCCCCAUGUGACCCGCGUGCUGCGGGGACCUAAGGUCACGUCUGGGAGCUGCCACCUCUGCAGAGGACGCAAGUCUGCAAGGCCUGCGCGACGCUGACACCUCGGGUCUGCAUCCGUGCGGGGCUGGAACUCAAGAGGAAGCACCGCUUUUGUCGCCUUCCUAGAGGCGGGGGGGGGGCGGGGGGGGCUGGAGGUGGCCAGCCUGUGUCUGAACAGCAGGAUGCGGAACCGUCGCCCAGCAUCUUCCCCUUGGCGUUCCGAGGGGACGGAGCGACCCCGCCUUUGCAUCUCAGGUGAUGGAAAACAGGAACGCCUCACGGGGGAGGAAGGGAAGCACCAAGGUCACCUGGAGUUUUAAGUCAAACCAAGAAACGAAGGAAGUCAAGUAUAAAGGCUGCGGUCCUCCGUCCUUCGGUGACCCCUACAACUGGACAGAUGGAGGGCGGGCUCCGAGUUUAGUGCACUAUACGAAAGUGGCCUCGGGAGAAAUAACUUCGUGUAGUGUUGUAACCUUAAAAAUCCAGACAUGAAACGGAAGGGAAACAGGCUCUCACUACAAAGCCCUGGCUGGCCUGGAUCUCACUAUGCAAUUCUGACUAGUUUGAAACUCACUGUGGAGACCAGGCUAGCCUCAAACUCACAGAUAUCCGCCUGAGUUCUGCUGCCCAAGAGCUGGAAUUAAGUGCAUCAUCCUACCCUGCAGACCUGCUAUCUUGUUUAUUCAGUGGUAUAGUAUGCCUUUUUUUUUUUUUUCAAAACAAGCUAUAAAUUAAGCAGGCAAUUAGUUUUGCAUGGAUCAAGUCAUGAAAACAUCUUGGACAGCAUUCAAUGUACCUGCUGACCUUGCUAUUUUAGAUUCCUCCCCAGGUUUUGAGACCACAUGUAGCCUAGGCUGGCCUUGAACCUUUUUCUUUUCUUUAUUUUUUAUUUUAUUUGCCUGGUAUGGUGGUACUCAAGGGGAGGCAGGAGGAUCUCCGUGAAUCCAGUCUAGUUUACAUAGUGAGUUCCAGGAUAGACAGCCAUAUGUAGAGAGACCCUGUCUCUAAAUUUGAUAUUAAUGUUUUGCCUGUAGUAUAUAUGCACCUAUAUGUGCCUGGUGUCUACAGAGGCCAGAAGUAGUUGUCAGAUCCCUAGAACUAGAAUUACAUGGAGUUGUGAGUACAUACUGCGAAUUGAAUCCUGGUCCUUCUUUGAGAACAGUGCUCUUAACUGCUGCAUUGUCUCACAGGCCUGGCCUUGAGCUCUUCAUGUUGCCUCCACCUCCUCAAGCGCUAGAAUUAUAGGGCAUGUACCACCCACCAUCAUACCUGGUGCUUCUGAUUGCAUUUUCUAUGCCUAGCCUUUAAUCUCAGCACUCAAAGAGGUAGAAACAGGAGGAUCUCUUGAGUUCAAGGUCAUCAUAUAGGUAUGGGGAAUUGAACUCUGGACGAGCAGCAAGCAUUCAUAAUGGCUGAGCCAUCUCUCCAACCCAUUUUCUUGUUUUGUUUUUUCAAGAAAGGGUUUCUUGGGCUGGUGAGAUGGCUCAGUGGGUAAGAGCACCUGACUGCUCUUCCAAAGGUCCAGAGUUCAAAUCCCAGCAACCACAUGGUGGUUCACAAUCAUUCGUAAUGAGAUCUGACUCCCUCUUCUGGAGUGUCUGAAGACAGCUACAGUGUACUUACAUAUAAUAAAUAAAUUAAUUUAAAAAAAAAAAGGGUUUCUUUGUGUAGUUCUGGCUGGCUGACCUGAAACUCAUUUUAUAGACCAGGCCGACCUCAAACUCAUAGAGAUCCACCUUCCUCUGCCUUCAGAGUGCAUGACUACAAUAUUGUGGAGUCCUAUGCACACAACUUUAUUCUACUUGUUCAUUUACCUAAGUUUGAUUGUUUGUGUGUGUGUGUGUUGUUGGUUGGUAGGUUGGUGCUUUUUGGUUGCUGUUGGUUGUGGUUUGUUAAGUAGUUGUAUGUAAAGAAGAAGAAAUUAGAUAUCCUGACCGUGAAGAUCAAACUUGCCCCUAAUCAGCAGGAAGUGGUGACAUAGUCUUCCACAAAGACAGCCUCCUUAGCCUACCCAAACAGCAUCAGGAUCAGGGACCAAUGCUCAAACAUCUUUUAGGAAGCCAUUGUCAUUCAAAUCACCACAUUCCAUUUGACUACAUAGACUCAUAGCCUUACCAAACUGCAAAAUAUUUCAGAUCAAAAGUUCCCCUAGUCUUUCACAGUCUCAACACUGCUUAAAAGCCCAUAGAUGCUUCUAAGACUCAAAACAAUUUCUUAAUUGUAAUCUCCUGCAAAAUCAAAAGGCAAAUUAUACAAUUGUUACAUACAAUGGCACAGAAUACAUAUUACCUUUCCAAAAGGAGGAUUGGGUGCUUGGUGAAAAAUUACUAAAAGACCAAAAGCUACCAGGGCGAACUCUAAAGCCUGUAUGUAGCUCUGUGUCUGAUGUCAGAGGGCUGAGAUGGCUCUGUGUCCAGCCUUGCUGCCUGCAACACAUCUCUCUGUCAGGAUGGUUCCACUUCCUGUGUGCACACUCCUUGCCAGACAACUCAUGAAUCUGGCAUCUCCAAUAUCUUGGGGUUUUCAGUGCAACCCCAGACUUCACUUUCACAGCUUCACACAGUGGCUUCUUAAGGACUUCCAACUGGGAUUCCCCUGCCAUAGGCUACCUUUGCCUUGCAGAAAGAAAGCUUAGCUGGGUGGAGUCCUGCUCUGAGGGCAUCAUUCUCUUUGUUCCCUUAGGCAGAGCAAGCCUGUCUUUACUGAUGCUGAUCUCAAGUGUAAUACUAAGCCUCCAGGGUAUUUUCCCACAAUUCAGUAUAUACCUGUCAUGUUUCGUUCUGCCCCAUUGCCCCUUUUCAUAAGCAUUUGCAUAAGCAUUGGCAACCAUAACCACAGACUCAACAUAUGUUUGGAAUUCCUUCCACCAAAGAAAUAAGACCACUGCUUUUAAAUUUAAUCUCAGGCAAGUUCUCCAGACAAGGCAGAAGGCUACCACAUCCUCUGCCAAAACAGUUCAGGGACGGCUCCUGCCCAGUUACUAAUGCUGUUCCCUCUGAAACCUCUUGAGCUGGGCCUUUACAGUCCACAUUGCUCGCUCUCAGGAUGACUGUCUUCCAGGCUCCUACUGCGACUAAGAUGAUCUGUAUACUUUCUUACAGGGGUCAACUGCUAUCUUUAGUCCAAAAUUCCUAAGUCUUCCAUGUCCUUCCAAAAAACAUGGUUAAGUCUGUUAGAGCUACAGCCCACUCUAUAAUACCAACUUCUUUUUUGUGGUUGUUUUGUUUUUUCAAGACAGGGUUUCUCUUUGUAGCCAUGACUGUCCUGGAAUUUGUUCUAUAGACCAGGCUGGCCUCAAACUCAGAGAUCUCAGAGAGCUGCCUGCCUCUGCCUCCCUCUCAAGUACUGGGAUUAAAAGCAUGCACUGCCACCACCAACCUCCUAGUUACUUUUCUGUUGCUAUGAUAAAACAACAUGACUAAGCCAUGUGGUGUGUGGCACAUGAUGUUAAUCACAACACUCAGUAGGCAAGCAGACUAAUGAGUUCAAGGCCAGCCUGGUCUACAGAGCAAGUUGCAAGACAGCUGGAACUGGGUUCUCUAGGGUCACAGGGCUUAUGGAAUGAAUACAUAUAUAAAGGGAAUUUAUUGGAAUGACUUAGAGUCUGCAUUCUAGCUAGUCCAACAGUAGCUAGCUGUGGAUGGAAAGUCUAAGAAUCAAGUUGUUAUACAGUCCCACACGGCCGGAUAUUUCAUCUGGUCUUCUGUAUCUGCUGGAAUCAUGGAGAAGUAGGCUUCAAUGUUAGUAAAGGAAUUGAUGCGCUAAUAAGGCAAGAGCAAGCAGGCAAAGAGCAAAAGCUUCCUUCUGUGUCCCUAUAUGAGCUUCCAGCAGAAGGUAUAGCCCAUGUUAAAGGUGUGUCUUCUCCCUUCAAAGGUCCAGACUAGAAGUGGAUUCAUCUACUUUAAACCAAGCAGAAUAUCUUUCAUAGGUGUGCCUUCCAUUUCUGAUGUCAUGUUGACAACCAAGAAUAGCCAUCACAACUAAGACUACAUGGAGAAACCCUGUCUCAAUAGACUAGACCAAACAACAACAACAACAAAAAAACCCAAAACAAAACAAAAACAACAAAAAAAAAAAAACAAAAAAAUUCCACCAAGACUAAAAGUGACUUCUGGAAGGAAGAGUUUUUGUCUCAGAUGCUACUUCCUCCAAUGAGGCCACACCCUCUAAACAUUCCCAAACAUCUCCACCAACUAGGGACCAAGUGUUACAUGCCUGAGUCUAUGGGGGCAUUUCUCAUUCAAGGCAGCACAGAGGCCCCAACUAUAGUUGAUCCUGUUCUCCAGUCUCACAAAGUCUGGAACUCAAGGUGUGUACAUGCCUGGCCAUUUACUCUGUGGGGCAUUUUUUGAAGGAUGGUCUCACCGCCUAGGCUGGCCUACAAUGAGAAAUAAACGUCAUUAAGGAGAAACCUGCUCCACCCUGGGAAAAAGGGAAGGGUUCCCUCAGAGCUUAGGGGUUUUCUGGGGCUAGAGAGAUGUUAAGAGAUCAGUUAAGAGAACUGACUGAUCUUCCGAAGGUCCUGAGUUCAAAUCCCAGCAACCACAUUAUGGCUUACAACCAUCCGUAAUGAGAUCUGACGCCCUCUUCUGGUGUGUUUUAAGACAGCUACAGUGUACUUACAUAGAAUAGUAAAUAAAAAUGGAUUGGCUGGAACGAGCUGGGCAGGAGCGAGGAGAGGUCUUGAGUUCAAUUCCCAGCAACCACAUGAAGGCUCACAACCAUCUAUACAGCUACAGUGUACUCAUAUACAUAGAAUAAUAAAUUUUAAAAAGGGUUUUCUGACACAAGGGCAUCUUGGCAGUUGGGAGCCAAUGAAUACCACAAAGUGACACCACACAUCAAACUUCACAUGAGAUUUAUUGGAGAGAGACACAGAAUGGCGGCUGUCUCAGUGAGAACAGCUACAGCAGAGGGCUGCGUGAAGGAAAGGCUCUUAUAGGUUUUAGGACCAUGCACAGUGAGCAUGGAAAGGUGGAAAAGUCCAGAGCUGUCCUGAGCAUCGUUCUGCUGUUAAUGCUGAAUCCUACGGAAGGGGAUUGCCUGGUCUCAAGAGCCAGGCUCAAGCCAGUGGCUGGCUGUCCCUCCUUUGGCCCUUUUCCCUGCUUUCUUCCCUUUUAUGUUUAGUAUUGAUAACUAAUCAGGAGUCAGGAAAGAAAACAACAUUAUCAUUAAACUACUUCCUGCUGUGUGAGGGUGUUGAAGUCCAUGGGGCAAGCAUGAUCUUCACCAUCAGGGCAUGUUCAGGGGUUGUAGGUCUCUGGUCCCUGUAGUUUGGUGGAGAAGCAGGGUUAGGGAGAGUAGUGUCCAACUCCAUACAGGACCAUCAGUGAUCCAUCAGCCAGAGAGGCACUGAACUGUUGUUUACAUUUUUGAACAUCUGUCAGGAGUUGUCAGUUCUUUACUAUAGCUAACUGGCUGACAUAGAAACAUCAUUCCUCCCUGUGGAGGAGGCAGAGGUCACUCUUCUCCACUGUUGGUAGAUCUAAGCUCAUCAAUUUCUCUCUAAUGGUUUUUAAGUUGUUUGCAUGGAAACGAGAAUUUUUCUUAAAGCCAGACAACAGCUUGUGUGUGUAGCCUCCCCCAGCCUUGAGCAGGCUGACUCAGACCUGUUCUUUAAGGAGACUUUAAGGAGACCACCUAGGGUGGAGUCUUCCGACCUAGAUGGGUCUAUUGUUCUAUCACCUGCGCUGUUCUCCAAGACGCUACCUGCUGAGAGUCUGAACCUGCCUUCCUGAGAAAUUCCUGAGGUAACUGACAACCUGGCUACUGACAACUUACUGCCAACAAGUGCUGUCAGACUAAUUGCUCUUGAUGCCUUAUUGCCAGCAUGGCAGGGGCUGGGCUUUCCCCCUUUAUAAGCACAGACUCUUAGUAAACAUUGGGCCUUGAUCAGAAAAAUUUGUCUUGGUCUCUUCUUUCCCGUUAUUUGGUUUUAACAGGCACCUUUUCUGUGGUGAUUUGAAUAUGCUAUGGCCCAUAUUUGAAUAUGUGGCAAUAUUAGGAGGUGUGGCCUUGUUGAAGAAAGUGUGUCACUGUGGGUAUGGGCAUAGGAAUCUUGUCCUAUCUGUCUAGAAGCAAGUCUUCUCCUAGCAUCCUUCAGAUGAAGAUAUAGUACUUUUAGUUCCUCCUGCACCAUGCCUGCAUGAAUGCUACCAUGCUCCCACCGUGAUGAUAAUGGACUGAACCUCUGAACCCAUAAGCCAGCCCCAGUUAAAAGGAGUUUCCUUGGGGGCUGGAGAGAUAGCGAUUAAAAGCACUUACUGCUCUUCCAGAGGUCCUGAGUUCAAUUCUAAGAAACCACAUGGUGGCUCUUAACAUCUGUAAUGGAAUCCGAUGCCCUCUUUUGGUGUGUCUGAAGACAACUAGUAUACCCAUAUAGGUAAAAUAAAUGCUUAAAUGGGCAGGUAGUAAGAAACUUAGAGUAGCCGGGCGUGGUGGCGCACGCCUUUAAUCCCAGCACUCGGGAGGCAGAGGCAGGCGGAUUUCUGAGUUCGAGGCCAGCCUGGUCUACAAAGUGAGUUCCAGGACAGCUAGGGCUACACAGAGAAACCCUGUCUCGACCCAAAAAAAAAAAGUUUCCUUAGUCUUAGUAUGUGUUCAUGGCAGUAAAACCCUAAGACAGAAGUUGGUAUUAGAAGUGGGAUAUUGGGGCUGGUGAGAUGGCUCAGUGGUUAAGAGUACCAACUGCUCUUCUGAAGGUCCUGAGUUCAAAUUCUAGCGACCACAUGGUGGCUCACAACCACCCAUAAUAAGAUCUGAUGCCCUCUUCUGGUGUGUCUGAAGUCAGCUACAGUGUACUUACAUAUGAUAAAUUAAUUAAUUUUUAAAAAAAGUGGGAUAUUGUUGUGAUAGGCAUGACUAUGUUUUUAUUUGGAGGAAUGUGGAUUUGGGGACUUAGAUUUGGAAAACAGUGGAAUGCUUUUUAUUAUUUAUUUACUUAUUUAUUUUGCAGUGGAAUGCUUUAAGUGAGGCUUAAUGGGCCAUCCUAGUAGGAAUAUGGAAGACUUUGUUGCUGAGAGUGACUUGAACUGUGCUGACCUGGCCCAAUAGGUUUCAGUGAAGAAGAAUUUCAGUAUGUGGUUUAGAAACUGUUUUUGUGGCGUUUUGGUGAAGAAUGUGGCUGCUUUUUUGCCUUUGUCUGAGGAGUCUAUCUGAGGCUAAGGUAAAGAGAUUUUUAUUAAAUGCAUUGACAAAAGAAAAUUUCAAUUUUUUUUUUCAAGACAGGGUUUCUCUGUGUAGCCCUGGCUGUCCUGGAACUCACUUUGUAGACCAGGCUGUUCUGGAACUCACUCUGUAGAUCAGGCUGGCCUCGAACUCAGAGAUUCACCUGCCUCUGCUUCCCAAGUGCUGAGAUUGAAGGUAUGUGCCUCCACACCUGCUGUUUUCAGGCUUUCUCAUCUCUCCCAUGGUACACUUUGAAGGCUAGCACUAAGACUUCUGCCUGUGGAGUCGGGGGUGGGGUGGUUCUCUGGGUUUUUAAGUUUGUCACUAAUAUCAGGGAAAAUCUGGGAGAAGUUGGUCAUAAGGAGUUGUUUCCUAUAUGGGGGUCUCAGGAUUUGCAUUGUUAAAAGAGAGCUUUCUAACACAGUCUAGGAAUUGAGAUGGGUUUUCAUGUUUGUCCUGGAUGGCCACUUUCCUUAUAAAGACUGGUAAGGAGGCAAGUAAUAAAUUGAUCUCUAGCUAAAAUGCCCUCUGGAGUAUUGUAGUCCCUCCCAGGACCCCAAUCAGGGACCAUCUCAGUCCCAGCCAGGUGGACAGCCUACUUUGGUGGACCUCAUCUUGCACGUACUUCAGCCCAGUCUGACUCACCUGUGCUCCUUGGGAGAAGGAUGGUGGUGAGAAUCCUGUAAACAUCAUGGAAAGUAAGUUUGUAUGAUUUGAGCCGGGUGUGGUGGUGCACACCUUUAAUCCCAGUACUUGGGAGGCAGAGGCAGGCAAAUUUCUGAUUUUGAGACCAGCCUGGUCUACAGAGUGAGUUCCAGGACAGCCAGGGCUAGACAGAGAAACCCUGUCUUGGAAAAAAACAAACCAAACAAACAAACAAACAAAGUUUGUAUGAUUUGACAAUAUAUCAGAAUUCUUUAAUAGAAGUGGAGAGAGAGAGAGAUUAGUGAUAUAGGACUCCAAUCUUUUUUUUCCUUUCAUCUUCAUAGCCCUGGCUGCCUGGAACAAGCUCUGUAGACAAGGCUGGCCUUAAACUCAGAGAUUUAUCUACCUCUGCCUCCAGAAUGCUGGGAUUAUGGGUUUGGUGACUGUGCCACCGCUGCCUGGCUCCCAGUCUUUUUUCUAUCAGAGAGAGUUCACUCAGUGAGAAGCCAUCCACCCUGUCACUACUUGCAGAGGUGGGCUGGGUAAGGGGAGUUAGAGAGGGGGCUCCAUCACAGUGUGGGAAUGACUAGCAGGUCAAGGGCCACCAGUGGGCAUAAAGUGAGUGCCAGCAAGAUUUGACAAGCAUGGCCUGUGGCUGGAGAGGGAGAAGGGAGACAGAAAAGACCAGAAAAGGAGCUGUGGGUUGAGGCCAAGUGAAAGCAGUAGAGAACUCACCUGGUUUGGGCUUCAUGGGUAGGAGGAGCUGGGUAAUGGGUCAGGAAGAACAGAGAGAGGGCUUGGAGCAGAGAUAAGAGAAGGCUUUUGUUGGGAGCGACCCUGUUUAAAUGUUAACUGCCUUGUCAGCCAUAAGUGCUUAGUUACAAAGUUUUGGCCUUGGUGGAAAAGUACUAGAUUAGUUAAGAUUUUUGUGGGAAAAGUUGAGGCCUCUGUAGGAAAGUACUACCUCCAGUUAAGAACAAAUAGCUAUAGAUCUUGUGGACAGGUACCUAGCAACCCAUUCUGUUCUGUUUCUCCUGCUGUGUUUUACCUAGCCAAUCUCCUGCUUUUGGGAACAGGUGCAUUCUCCCAGAAGCAAAGCGACUCUGUGUCAUCCCUCUCCCCAUAUCCUGCUUCAUGGGCGUAAAACCUACCUGGGAAAAAUAAAGUUUGACAGCUUGAUCAAUCAGACUUGCUGUCAGUUCUUUGUGUUCCUCGCUCCCCGUUCUCUCCACAGGUGGUUCCUCAGACCCUGUUUGACUGACCCGUGGGCCCGGACAGACAUGGACAUAGGGAAUCUCUUUCCAUUUCCCCAAUCAUGCAUAGUAAUUGUAAAGGUUCCAAAUAACAUUGGAGUCUAGGUUGCCAUUUGUGAUGGUUUGUACAUGUUUGGCCCAGGAAUGGCACUAUUAGAGGAGGUGUGGGCUUGUUGGAGUAGAUGUGGCAUUGUGGGCAUGGGCUUUAAGACUCUACUUUUAACUGUCUGGAAUUGAGUCUUCCACUAGCAGCCUUCAGAAGAUGUUGAACUCUCAGCUCUACCUGCACCAUGCCUGCCUGGAUGCUGCCAUGCCUUGAUGAUAAUGGAUUGAACCUCUGAACCUGUCAGCCAGCUCCAAUUAAAUGUUGUCCUUAUAAGAGUUGCCUUGGUCAU